rnacentral:rRNA from 1 species
UACAUAGGGGGCAAGCGUUGUCCGGAAUCAUUGGGCGUAAAGAGCGUGUAGGCGGCUUGGUAAGUCCGCUGUGAAAGUCCAGGGCUCAACCCUGGAAUGCCGGUGGAAACUGUCAAGCUUGAGUCCGGAAGAGGCGAGUGGAAUUCCUGGUGUAGCGGUGAAAUGCGCAGAUAUCAGGAGGAACACCAAUGGCGAAGGCAGCUCGCUGGGACGGUACUGACGCUGAGACGCGAAAGCGUGGGGAGCAAACAGG